rnacentral:lncRNA from 1 species
GACAACACUGCCUCAUUAAAACAUUAUUAGGAAAACUUAAAGGGCUAAAACAAAGAUGGAGGAAAAAAAGUGUUAGAACCAAGUUGGUUUGAAGAACUAUAACCCUUACUUGUUUUGAUAAGGACAAAAUUAUUUUGUGGGAACAAUUUAAAGAACUAAUGUUCUAUAUUAGUGUCUAGUUUCUAGUUCAAGUUAUUCUAUAACCCUAAGUUUGCCGAAUGCGCACUGAUAAUCACAACAAACAUUUGAUCCCUAUGUCUUGGAUAACCUUGACAAGCAAGUGAUUGUCUGGCUCUAUUAUUUAUAUCAAGCAUUUGUUCGUCUGACUCUAUUAAUAGUCUAUGCUCUAAUGAAAGACAAAGCUUUUUCACAUCCUCUAUGAAACACCCUGAAUUCGUAUUUGUCUAGAGGUCUUUGCGACAUACUUUGAUCAUAAUAUCUUCUAAUAUUUAUGUCUUCAUAUCAAGAUUCAAGGAAUCGAUUUUAAGAGUAUAUUUGACAAGGUUUAAUGGUGAAUCAAUCUUAGAAGAGUUGAUACGAAACUUCAUAAUACAUGUUGAUUUCUUGCAAUCACGAAAACAGCCAGAAACCCUCAAAAUCUUUAUAUAAAGAAGUGCAACCCUAAUUGAAAAGUACAUGUAACAACAUACCAUAAUAAGCACAAUACAUCCGUCUCUGCACUCUUGCUCUUAAUCUUUUGUCAUGUCUAAUUAAUGAAAAAUAUUUUUUUAGAGAACAAUGAUGUAAGCAUCCUCUUGUGAAAGUUAUUCAGAAAAUCAUUAAAUUGUUCUUUUGUAACCAAGUCUAGUAUUGGUUGCAUCCCUCAACAUCUUGAUUGUACUAAGAUAGAAGGUUGAGAAGACUUGAACACACUCAGUUUGACUAGUAUGUGUUUAGUGGAAGUGUAACCUACUUGGUAAAUUAGUGGAUUAAAUCAUUUACAUUAAAG